rnacentral:rRNA from 1 species
AUGUACAUGUCUACAACAUUAAUGUAGUGGAUCCCAUUAGAACUCCACGGUUAAGCGUGCUUGGGCUAGAGUAGCACUAGGAUGAGUGACCUCCCAGGAAGUCCUAGUGUUUUACAUG